GUGAGCGUUGCAUAGUGGCCUUUGUUUGUUGUGGCAGUGGAGGCGGGGUCCAUUGACCAAGCAGUGGCUAUUCGGAGCGCGAGGUCCAUUGUCAGAGAGCUUUUAGGAGAGGAAAGAAGUCCUGUAUCUUCGGCUCUGGAUAAUUGCAGAAUGGGUUCGGAAUGCAUUUGAGAAAACAGAUCCAGCAUAUAAGGAAUUCUGGACUAAUAAGACCCCAUCUUUCUAACUGCCUGGCGAGUUGUUGCUGAUGCAUUUUCAUAGGCCAUAUCAAAACAUAUUCCAGAUAAUGGCGACACUAUAUGAAUGAAGAGGCAAUUAAUCACUUGUGACAUGAGGCAAUGUGAGUCUCAGACAUAUCUGAAGAGAGGGUAAACUUGGGACUGCAGCCAGAUCAUGAAAUAUUGGUGCUUGGGGAGGCAGAUUAAGUGUUAAUUAACCCCUCCCAGGGCCAGGCAGGUGUGGGAUGUGGUGCACUGUUGUACAAUGCCCUCCCAAUAUUGCACUCGUCCCGGCCUCCCGGACCCAGGGUAUUCCAUCUUUAACAGAGGAGCUCAGAAAGGUUGUUUUUCCUCAUUCCUCACUCCGUACAUGUGUGUAAAAACACUGUGAUAUGUACUUCAAAACUUUGUUCUCACUUAAAAAUAUAUUUUCAAAAUCACUUUCUACAAUACAUUUUGCUACUACAAUUAUUUAGAGAAACAUAUGUGUAAUACUAUGUCAUUCGCCAUAUCGACCCAAUUUAUUCUAUCUAUUCACAUGUGGCCCGUUAUGGGAGAAACCCAGUGAAUUUAUUCUAUACAGUUGGUAAGCCUCUGCUUCCAAAUGGUCCCACUGUCCGCACCUGACACUGGCUGGCUAGCUGCCACAUGGGGACUUUAGCCAACUCCACUAAGUCAUUCUCUUCCCUCUGCCCUUGUGACUUCACUCUGAAAGUUCCCACAUUUUGGGAUAGGAAGCAGUAUUGCACAAACUCUGUAUGGCCAACAAGACCUAGGAUGACAAAUGCCUAUCAAAUUGCAUCUAUUCACACCUGAGAGAGAGUUAGUCAGGAUAGAGCAAAGAGAUGAAUGAUCAGAUUGGAAUCCAGCCACAGUAGUCUGGGGUCAAUAGCAGGACAUCUCCAGCUUAAUAGAAUAAUGCUUAAAAUACUCCAUUCUGUCUCCCGGGUGGCGCAGUGGUCUAGGGCACUGCAUCGCAGUGCUAACUGCGCCACCAGAGUCUCUGGGUUUGCCCCCAGGCUCUGUCGCAGCCGGCCGCGACCGGGAGGUCUGUGGGGCGACGCACGAUUGGGCUAGCGUCGUCCGGGUUAGGGAGGGUUUGGCCGGUAGGGAUUUCCUUGUCUCAUCGCGCUCCAGCGACUCCUGUGGCGGGCUGGGCGCAGUGCGCGCUAACCAAGGGGGCCAGGUGCACGAUGUUUCAUCCGACACAUUGGUGCGGCUGGCUUCCGGGUUGGAGGCGCGCUGUGUUAAAGAAGCAGUGCGGCUUGGUUGGGUUGUGCCUCGGAGGACGCAUGGCUUUCGACCUUCGUCUCUCCCGAGCCCGUACGAGAGUUGUAGCGAUGAGACAAGAUAGUAAUUACUAGCGAUUGGAUACCACGAAAAUUGGGGAGAAAAGGGGAUCAAAUAAAAAAAAAUAAAAAAAAUACUCCAUUCUAAAUGGAAUCCAAAUUCAUUUUCAAGUCUGUCCUCAGCAGGGAACUUGUUUUGUUGUUAUUACACAAGUAGAAUGGGAAGAGGUUUUAUUUCACUUAUGUGGUAACAAAAUGCUCAACUCCAUUACAAAGCAAGUUACAAUGUAACAUGUUAAAAUACAGUGUUAUCAUUGAGUUAUUACAGUGUUACUACACUGGCAUAAGAAUAACGUAAUUAGGCAAUGUGACACAUAAUAUAUGAUAUUAAAUAUAGCAAGUUCUGUACCAUGUAUAUGGAUUUAUAUGACUGGCUAUUAUGGUGGAGCAGAGAAGCAGACAGUGGAGACAGGCAGUUCAGUCAGUUGAGCCCUGGGGUCUGUCUGCUCCUGGGAGGUAUGAUGACAACCACAGCACUCAGCGGUUGGAUACAGUUAGCACCAGUGUCACCACAUACUUCACUGACUAGAUGACCUCGGAACAGCAGUGCACAUUCACAGUUGCUCUUGAUUUCUUUGACAGUUUUUUAUUCUAAGUAGUAUCGUUCAUUAGCAUACUUGUUGUGUACAGAAUCACAAAGGUCAAAUAAACAUAUUUUUAAGAAA